AGUGAACGCUGGCGGUAGGCCUAACACAUGCAAGUCGAACGGCAGCACAGUAAGAGCUUGCUCUUACGGGUGGCGAGUGGCGGACGGGUGAGGAAUACAUCGGAAUCUACUUUUUCGUGGGGGAUAACGUAGGGAAACUUACGCUAAUACCGCAUACGACCUACGGGUGAAAGCAGGGGACCUUCGGACCUUGCGCGAUUGAAUGAGCCGAUGUCGGAUUAGCUAGUUGGCGGGGUAAAGGCCCACCAAGGCGACGAUCCGUAGCUGGUCUGAGAGGGUGAUCCGCCACACUGGCACUGAGACACGGUCCAGACUCCUACGGGAGGCAGCAGUGGGGAAUAUUGCGCGAUGGGCGCAAGCCUGAUCCAGCCAUACCGCGUGAGUGAAGAAGGCCUUCGGGUUGUAAAGCCCUUUUGUUGGGAAAGAAAAACAGCAGGUUAAUACCCCGCUGUUCUGACGGUACCCAAAGAAUAAGCACCGGCUAACUUCGUG
rnacentral:rRNA from 1 species